UACGGAGGGUGCGAGCGUUGUCCGGAAUCACUGGGCGUAAAGGCGCGUAGGCGGCCUGAUAAGUAGGGGUGAAAUCCUGCGGCUUAACCGCAGGGCUGCCUUCUAAACUGUCGGGCUAGAGCACGGUAGAGGCAGAUUGGAAUUCCCGGUGUAGCGGUGGAAUGCGUAGAGAUCGGGAAGAACAUCAGUGGCGAAGGCGGUCUGCUGGGCCGUGCUGACGCUGAGGCGCGAAAGCGUGGGGAGCAAACAGG
rnacentral:rRNA from 1 species